GGGAUAUUAGCUCAGUUGGUUUAGAGCAUCGCCUUGACAGGGCGGGGGUCACUGGUUCGAAUCCAGUAUAUCCCACAA
rnacentral:tRNA from 1 species